UAAACAAAACUGUACUGAAUGUAUUGUGUAUGUUGUUUGUUUCUAGGAGAGCGUCAGCCCCUAAUUGACUUGAGGAAAAAAAUUGAAAAGGGCUGUGCCUUUGACAGUAUACCGCUCUUUGCUACAGAGGAAGCAUUAGGAAAGGGCAGAAGAGAGAAAGUGAAAAGGCCCCCAACAGAUGUUGGCGAGACUUCAUUUCUGGACCUGGAAAAUGCACCGGUAACAAACAAAAAAAAGAAGACCAAAAAUAUCAUUCAACAGAAGAUAAUGGCUGCAGUGAAACAAAGCUGCACUCAAAUACCGAAAUGCAUGAUGUUGUGCAGGAACUAAAAGACACAGUGGCCGAAUUUAAAAUGAUGUCAAAGCAGAAGCCUGACACUCCGCAGACCUCAUCUUUUUAGAACAUCGGUUCUCAAAUUCAAGAACCAUGCUCUGCUCAAGGAAGUGGGCAGGAAGACGAUUACAUCAAUUUGGGUGAAGGAGUGCGGAUCAAGAAAUGCCAGUUUGACAAGAUCAAUCCCCAAGAUUUUAAAAAAUUUACAAACGAGCUUCUCCUUGUAAUCUUUGGGCGAGAAACUCUUGCCACCCACUCUUUAAAUGGAAGAAAGGCAUCCAAUGCAGAGACCAGCAAGGAGGCACUUCCAGCUCACAAAGUGUCCAUCUUAAUCGACUACAUCCAAAAGAAAUUCAAUGUGUCUACAUCUAAUAUCAAGGCAGUCAUCCGAACCAAGCUUAACAACGAGGACAAGCUAUUCAAAAAACGAAACCUGCCUGAAUAAUGCCAAAAUUGGUUGCAAUUGUUACAUUGCAGUUUCACUAUUCUUCUUCUGUACUAAUUCAUAUGUGUGAAAAUAAAUAUUGUACUUGU